GACGAACGCUGGCGGCGUGCUUAACACAUGCAAGUCGAACGAAGAGCGAUGGAAGCUUGCUUCUAUCAAUCUUAGUGGCGAACGGGUGAGUAACGCGUAAUCAACCUGCCCUUCAGAGGGGGACAACAGUUGGAAACGACUGCUAAUACCGCAUACGAUCUAAUCUCGGCAUCGAGGAAAGAUGAAAGGUGGCCUCUAUUUAUAAGCUAUCACUGAAGGAGGGGAUUGCGUCUGAUUAGCUAGUUGGAGGGGUAACGGCCCACCAAGGCGAUGAUCAGUAGCCGGUCUGAGAGGAUGAACGGCCACAUUGGGGCUGAGACACGGCCCAGACUCCUACGGGAGGCAGCAGUGGGGAAUCUUCCGCAAUGGACGAAAGUCUGACGGAGCAACGCCGCGUGAGUGAUGACGGCCUUCAGGUUGUAAAGCUCUGUUAAUCGGGACGAAAGGCCUUCUUGCGAACAGUUAGAAGGAUUGACGGUACCGGAAUAGAAAGCCACGGCUAACUACGUG
rnacentral:rRNA from 1 species